AGCAUUUGAGAGGUGUUUCACUUAGCACUCCUUGGGCUAGGUUUUCUCCUGAACAGUUUACAGGAUCAAGUGAUUCUGGUAUUUAGAUGUAGCAGAAAUGCUAAGUCACAGCUUGCACCACUGAUUGAGCACCUGGUGGGAAGGCAGGGCCAGCCCAGGGGAGCUCAGCUGCAUGCAAUGUACCUGAGUGACCAGAAGGGCUGGAGCCAGGAUCCACCCCUUGCCAGCAUUCAUUUAAGGGUUGGCAGUGGAGGUGAGGGUAUCUCACUGGAGAUCUCUGCAUACCUGAGGUCUUCCAAAGAUAUGAGAAAUGAUUUUGGAUUCUCCACUCAAAAGGAGCUUGGAAAGAAUUUUGGAGGAUGGACAAACAACACCGCCCAAAAGUCUGCUUUCUGCCAGGAAGAAAAUAAAGGAAGAAGUCACCACAGUGGCAAAGAACAUGAAGGGAUGCACUUACAGCAAGGCUGACACAAGGAUCCCUUAAGACUCUGCAGCUUUUGUAAAUCCUGCCCGAGAAUUUAAAGUUGCCAAAUCUCCUCCCCAAAGACACAUACUGCAGCUUCCAAUGCCCUCAGGACGCCAUUUUAACGUAACAGGUUCCAAUACUGUCAAAAAAUGCCAGCAAGAGAAUGGGAGCCAGAGCCUACUUCAGCACACUUGGCUGGCCUUACAGCUUUCUGAAAUCUGUUUGUACUGGAGCUGGAAAAAAGAGAUUUUUAUCAUUUGAAAUAAACUCCAGAGUCCCAG
rnacentral:lncRNA from 7 species